CAUUUUCGAGCCGUUGGAUGGCUCCUGGGCCUGCACCAACAAAUUGCUUAUUGGUGUUAAAAUAUAUGUUCUCAAAUCAAAAAAAAAGUAUAAAAAUCGCCUAAGCUCGUAAAAAGUACUGAGUAAAAGCACUGAAAUACUGAAUCGAUUUGCGUGUGCGGUUCCAUUUUCCUAUAGUCUAGUACUCACAUUGACGAAAACCGCUAGCCAUAGGAGUGAGCGAGCGGCAAAUACGCGGCAAACGCUUUUCGUCGGGCCUGUUUUUCAGCGCGGCUCUCAGAUGAGCUAAGGAAAUACCAGAAAAAAAAUAGCUGAUCUAGCGAGUAAAUUUUGAUGAACGCCGUUAGCCGCGACCCAAAGAUUAAAAUAUGUAUUCUUCGGCGGUGUUCGUGCAAAAGCGGUGCCAAAGCUAAAAAUUAAUAAUGGCAGGAAAACUCCAAAAUCGCCUGCAGGAGACAGCAAUAGCACAAUGGGGUAAAUCCGCAGAAUAGUAGAAGUGCUGGAUGAGAUCCAAUAGAAAAUCCCAGAGGGAAGGAACAUGACGACUGGGACAUCGCCCCAUACAUCGACAUCCUGCCGGACGUAUCCUCGCAGAGAAAGAAGAACCACCGGAACGAUCUCCGAUGAGCUCUCCACUGGGGGACCACA